UGGCUAGGAAACGGGGGAGGAAGUGGGAGGAGAAGAAGAAGAAAUGUGGUGACAGAGGUGGUGACGGCUAACGGCGGUGGUGCCACUGCGACGGUGACCCGCAUGGACUGCAAGGUGCUCCCGACCAUCUCCGGCAUAUGCAAUCCUGACAAGUGCAUGCAGUACUGCCAGGACCGCAUCAGCGGCACCUCGGUGGGCGAGUGCGUUUCCGACGGAUGCCAGUGCACGUACUGCGACGUUGGAGCCCAGGAGCCAGACACCACCGUCGACAACGACUACUGCUACUCAGGAGGUGCCUACUACUACGUGCAGCCCGCUUACGGCGACCAGGAGUAG
rnacentral:rRNA from 1 species